AAGGAUCAUUACCGAGUUGAUUCGGGCUCCGGCCCGAUCCUCCCACCCUUUGUGUACCCACCUCUGUUGCUUUGGCGGGCCGCGGUCCUCCGCGGCCGCCCUCCGUCCGGGGGGUGGCCAGCGCCCGCCAGAGGACCAUCGAACUCCGGUCAGUGAACGUUGCCGUCUGAAAAACAAUCAAUAAACUAAAACUUUCAACAACGGAUCUCUUGGUUCUGGCAUCGAUGAAGAACGCAGCGAAAUGCGAUAAGUAAUGUGAAUUGCAGAAUUCAGUGAAUCAUCGAAUCUUUGAACGCACAUUGCGCCCCUCGGUAUUCCGAGGGGCAUGCCUGUUCGAGCGUCAUUACAACCCUCAAGCUCUGCUUGGUGUUGGGCACCGCCCUUCCGCGGGCGCGCCUCAAAGACCUCGGCGGUGGCGUCUUGCCUCGAGCGUAGUAGAAAACACCUCGCUUUGGAGCGCACGGCGCCGCCCGCCGGACGAACCUUUUGAACUUUCUCAAGGUUGACCUCGGAUCAGGUAGGGAUACCCGCUGAACUUAAGCAUAUCAAUAAG
rnacentral:rRNA from 1 species